rnacentral:rRNA from 1 species
UACGUAGGGGGCAAGCGUUGUCCGGAAUCAUUGGGCGUAAAGCGCGUGUAGGCGGUUCGAUAAGUCUGCUGUGAAAGUCCAGGGCUCAACCCUGGGAUGCCGGUGGAUACUGUCGGGCUAGAGUCCGGAAGAGGCGAGUGGAAUUCCUGGUGUAGCGGUGAAAUGCGCAGAUAUCAGGAGGAACACCUACGGCGAAGGCAGCUCGCUGGGACGGUACUGACGCUGAGACGCGAAAGCGUGGGGAGCAAACAGG